rnacentral:sRNA from 1 species
AGAAAACAGAAUCCUGAGCUGGUUAUGAUUCUAUCAUUACCACCACUUAGGAAGGACCUGGAUCCAUGAAAAGACCUUACCCACUUUAGCUCUGACCCCUUCAGUCUUUGGAGGUGAAUAUUAGUCUCCCUGACAUUCAGUGGAGGAAACUGGGGUGCGGAUAGGGGUGUUGCUCCCAGCUAGGUCCUCCCUAAUGCAUUUGCCCAUUCCAGGUCCCAGCUGCAGGGCAGCCAUGAGCCUGGUGGCCUGUGAGUGCCUGCCCAGCCCCGGCCUGGAGCCUGAGCCUUGCUCACGAGCACGGUCCCAAGCUCGCGUGUACCUGGAGCAGAUUCGCAACAGGGUGGCUCUGGGAGUGCCUGACAUGACAAAACGUGACUAUCUGGUGGAUGCGGCCACGCAGAUCCGGCUGGCCCUGGAGCGCGAUGUUAGUGAGGACUAUGAGGCGGCCUUCAACCACUAUCAGAAUGGCGUGGACGUGCUGCUCCGUGGCAUACACGUUGACCCCAACAAGGAGCGACGUGAGGCUGUGAAGCUGAAAAUUACCAAAUACCUGCGGCGGGCAGAGGAGAUCUUCAACUGCCACCUGCAGCGGCCA